UCAGUUUUCUAAAAUCUCCUAGAAGUAUUUAGUGAGAGUAAUCUGUCCCAAUAAACGUCCUUGGAAGCACAUGACAUGGCUAACUGCAGAAAGAUACGCAUCAUGUGGACCCUGCAGUCAUGUAGGCUCCACAUUCCAUAGAAAGCCACUCUAACAGUCCUAGCCAUAUGCUCAAUGAAGGAAUGGGACAUCUGCAUAUGUAUCUAUACAUAACAGACAAGGUCCCCUUUCUCUUACUGUGUCACCUGCAUAACACAAGAUUCAAAACACUUCCUUCAAGUCUUACAAUGGGCCUCAUGCAUAAAAGGUACACUAUCAAGAAAGGUCAGUGCUUCUCAUAGCAACCAAAGUAUGUAGCGUGCAACAGGAACAUCUCCCAUACUCAUCCAUGUUCUAGUAUGGGUACAUCCACCAGGAAGAAUAAUUCACAACAGAUCCACCGCCAAAUACAUUGCAAAGGUUUGUGUCCACAGUGGAAAUCUGCAGCAUAAAUUGAUAUUCUCUUGAUUUGAAGUCUGCACCACAGGUCAAUUUACACAAAUCUGCAAACAGCUACUCUCAAUCAAGCUGCAUAUACACUCUAUUCUCCCACUUUCACCAGAAAUCAAACCUGUCGGAUCCUACUUUUUUCACCACCUUAUCUUGCAACAUCUACCAGCAGGGGAUAUUCUGGAUCACACACCCCAACAUUAGAUUGUGUGUCAUCCUCUUCAAAUUUUUAGGUUCAGAACCAUUCUCAGAACUCUGAAAAUAGCCUGAUAUUAAUCCCAUAUCAUGACAGUGAGUCCAAACCUUUUACAGCUUAUUCACAUGCCAAUGAGUCACCCAUGCUCCACUAUAUUACAUCAAACUUUAAUCUUUUGAUAAACGGUAAUAAAACCUAUAUCUGUAUUGGUUACUAAAGUAGUGCACUGUUAUUUUGCAGG